ACGAACGCUGGCGGCGCGCUUAACACAUGCAAGUCGAACGGAAAGGCCUGCUUUCCCUUGUGGAUUGCGGGUACUCGAGUGGCGAACGGGUGAGUAACACGUGAGUGAUCUGCCCCCAACUUGGGUAUAAGCCUGGGAAACUGGGUCUAAUUCCCGAUAGGACUGCAGGGUGGUGCCUGUGGUGGAAAACGAUUUUCUAGUGGUUGGGGAUGAACUCGCGGCCUAUCAGCUUGUUGGUGGGGUAAUGGCCUACCAAGGCGGCGACGGGUAGCCGGCCUGAGAGGGUGGACGGCCACAUUGGGACUGAGAUACGGCCCAGACUCCUACGGGAGGCAGCAGUGGGGAAUAUUGCACAAUGGGCGGAAGCCUGAUGCAGCGACGCCGCGUGGGGGAUGACGGCCUUCGGGUUGUAAACUCCUUUCGACCGCGAGGAAGCCACCUGGUUGGAAGGGUGGUGACGGUAGUGGUAGAAGAAGCACCGGCUAACUACGUG
rnacentral:rRNA from 1 species